UGGGGAAUUUUGGACAAUGGGCGAAAGCCUGAUCCAGCCAUGCCGCGUGCAGGAUGAAGGCCUUCGGGUUGUAAACUGCUUUUGUACGGAACGAUAAGACUCUGGUUAAUACCUGGGGUCCAUGACGGUACCGUAAGAAUAAGCACCGGCUAACUACGCGCCAGCAGCCGCGGUAAUACGUAGGGUGCAAGCGUUAAUCGGAAUUACUGGGCGUAAAGCGUGCGCAGGCGGUUAUAUAAGACAGAUGUGAAAUCCCCGGGCUCAACCUGGGAACUGCAUUUGUGACUGUAUAGCUAGAGUACGGCAGAGGGGGGAUGGAAUUCCGCGUGUAGCAGUGAAAUGCGUAGAUNUGCGGAGGAACACCGAUGGCGAAGGGCAAUCCCCUGGGCCUGUACUGACGCUCAUGCACGAAAAGCGUGGGGNGCAAACGGAUUAGAUACCCUGGUAGUCCA
rnacentral:rRNA from 1 species